GCUGGAGUGGCUCAGUUGGUAGAGCAGCUGAUUCGUAAUCAGCAGGUCGUGGGUUCGAGUCCCAUCUUCAGCUCCA
rnacentral:tRNA from 2 species